UUUAAAGUUGAUCUGAAUCCUUAUUCUAUUUCAAGUUACUGCGAUUUCACCUUUUCUUUUGGCGUGUUUGAUACGAUUAGAUUUGUUUCAAUUGAGUUUUCUGUAGAUGCGUCCUUCCAUUUUCUAGGAUGCAAUUGUUGAUAUGAAAACUUAGCUGUUGCUAAAAACAGCACCGCGGUUAGUUCAAACUAAGAAAAAUGAUAAGCUUGUAUGAUAUUUGAAUUUUGAAACUGUUUAAGCAUUCAUAUCCAUGGAAAUUUAAGUCUGUCGAGUUUGCAAUGCCAAUAACAGGACAUAAACUCGUCUAAGAUGACAAUUAUUUUGGUCAGCCCAAAGCAUCUGGUGUAGAAAACUUGUUCUCCUUAGUUGAACUUCACUCCACUUUCAAAGACUUGGCACAUGAGGUCAAAGUGUUUUUCUCCAUUGUAAUUCCCGUUCCUGCAUCGGUGCGGGAAAGGAAGCAUCAUGUUAGCUGGAUUAGUAAGAUGUUCUUUUCAUAUUGUAAUCUGUUGGUUUCUUCAGUUUCCAUCAGAUUAAAGGAAAAAAAGUUGGGGAUUACAUGAUAAAUAGAUGAAAGAGCAGCUAGUACCUUGUAUUUUGCCCUCAGCAGUUGCUCGUUGCCAGAAACAACAUUCUUUUUCAUGUCCCACGAAAUUCCCGGCUUGUUCAUCAUCUCUGAGAAGUCUUUGUAUUUUCUGUUAAGGAUCUGGAGCCUUAACUUGAGAAGACGGUCUGAAUGAACUCGACCAAACAUUGAACGGAACUUCUCAUAAACAUAUAGCUCACUUUCUUUUCUGAAAGUUGAACCUGGUGUAUAAUCCCCCCUUUCAAUCUCCUCCACCAUCAUCUUUAGGAAUUGAAAAUCACCUUGCCCUCUAUAUCCAUAUCCAGGUAGUACAUUGGCCAUCUGUGACUCAUUUGGUAGUCAGGUAACACAUAAUGCAAAUAAGAAGUCAAUAUGUGGUAGCACGACAUAGCAACAUAUAAAGUACACAACUUAUGUGCAGUCUAAUAUUGGCUAGAAGUUAGAAGCUAAGUUUUCUGGUGAUAAACUGCUACACAAGAAAGAAAAAUUUGUCGUCUGUCUUAAAGAGAUGCUAUGUUCUAAUGCCAACGAAAGCAGGGUGCUUCAAUGCAGCGGUACCUUUUUCUUUCCAUAAUUCCUUCUUUAAUAAACGCUUUCAUGUUAAAUUCUAUUUUGAGAUGUUAAUCUAGAAAGUGAAGAUGCAUAUAGUUAUUUGGAUUUGUAUUUUGAUGCUUAAGAUCAACUCAUUUGAAAUCUGUUCUUAAGUGUUUCAUUGUUGCUUAAACUGUUUUUAUUGCUCAUUAAGUUCUGUUUUCUGUGAGGAACUCUAUUUCUUUCUUCUAGUGGUAAAAGGGUUUUCAAGUGACUAUGCUCUCAGUCCCGUUGAAUGAAAUUCUUUUGCCAGACCCUUGUUAGGGGCUUUAUCAUUGUCUCUUGUUCUAAGAUGCCAUUCUAAAGGUCUUCCCUUAACAAGUGAAAAAUGCUGCCUGACAAAUUGGGAUGUCUAGGUUCCUCAAAAAAUACCAAAAAAUAGAAAAUUCUAGGUUCCGAAUAAGCUAAGCCUAGACUCGAUGACUAACCGAGGCAUUAUUUGUGGAGAAAUAAGGGCUUAAUGAAUGUCUACAUCUCCCCCAAAGAGGAAAUUGCAUCCUUGAAUUUAGAAUAUAUGGGAAAUCUUAAUGGAUCAAUGUUACUGUAUGGCUGCGUGGGACCUCUUGAUGGCAUCAUUAGAAGUAGACCCGGAGACAGAAAACGACCCCAUCUUAAAAUUGUUGCAAAUACAUGUAAGUAUUUAUUAAUCCAUUUCUGUCUGCUUACAGAUAUGCAAAAACUAACAGGCAGAAUGAUUUCGUGUACCCGAGCAGUUGUUAUAUACUACACAUAAAAAUGAUUUGUCCGCAUCAUCUCACCUAUAUUUAUUCAUUACUGUUAGAAAUAGAAUGGGGCUGGGCCAGGCAAUCAAACUUCUCCCCUGAGUUUGGUACCAAAUUUAUCACCACAUUUUCCUUACCAUAACCAUGUAAAUGUAAUGAAGUUUACGAUUCAAAGGCCGGCAUAACAAGCGUUAAACAAAGAUGAAGCAAUAAUUUCUGGAAAAGCGACCAUACAGCUUUGGAUGGAUUAGCUCAUAGAACAUGGUGUUAUGCUUAUACACAGCGAAGAAAGCUAAGGCUUUUUAUUACUUUAAUAAUUUUCAUUUGCUUUCGUGCAUCAUUAUUUGGUUAUCUGAGUCA